rnacentral:rRNA from 1 species
CCCUUAGAUGUCCUGGGCCGCACGCGCGUUACACUGAUGCAUUCAACGAGCUUAUAACCUUGGCCGAGAGGCCUGGGCAAUCUUAUUAACAUGCAUCGUGAUAGGGAUAGAUUAUUGAAAUUAUUAAUCUUGAACGAGGAAUUCCUAGUAAACGCAGAUCAUCAAUCUGCAUUGAUUACGUCCCUGCCCUUUGUACACACCGCCCGUCGCACCUACCGAUUGGAUGGUCCGGUGAAGCCUCGGGAUUGUGGUUCUUGCCGCUUUAUUGUGGCGUGACCGCGAGAACUUGUCUAAACCUUAUCAUCUAGAGGAAGGUGAAGUCGUAACA